UACGAAGGGGGCUAGCGUUGUUCGGAAUUACUGGGCGUAAAGCGCACGUAGGCGGUCAUUUAAGUCAGGGGUGAAAUCCCGGAGCUCAACUCCGGAACUGCCUUUGAUACUGGGUGUCUUGAGUGUGGAAGAGGUGAGUGGAAUUCCGAGUGUAGAGGUGAAAUUCGUAGAUAUUCGCAAGAACACCAGUGGCGAAGGCGGCUCACUGGCCCGAUACUGACGCUGAGGAGCGAAAGCGUGGGGAGCGAACAGG
rnacentral:rRNA from 1 species